AGUGAACGCUGGCGGUAGGCCUAACACAUGCAAGUCGAACGGCAGCACAGUAAGAGCUUGCCCUUACGGGUGGCGAGUGGCGGACGGGUGAGGAAUACAUCGGAAUCUACUUUUUCGUGGGGGAUAACGUAGGGAAACUUACGGUAAUACCGCAUACGACCUACGGGUGAAAGCAGGGGAUCUUCGGACCUUGCGCGAUUGAAUGAGCCGAUGUCGGAUUAGCUAGUUGGCGGGGUAAAGGCCCACCAAGGCGACGAUCCGUAGCUGGUCUGAGAGGAUGAGCAGCCACACUGGAACUGAGACACGGUCCAGACGCCUACGGGAGGCAGCAGUGGGGAAUAUUGGACAAGGGGCGCAAGACUGAUCCAGCCAGACCGCGUGGGGGAAGAAGGCCGUCGGGUUGUAAAGCCCUUUUGUUGGGAAAGAAAAGCAGCAGGUUAAUACCCCGCUGUUCUGGCGGUACCCAAAGAAUAAGCACCGGCUAACUGCG
rnacentral:rRNA from 1 species